GGAUUAGAUACCCUGGUAGUCCACGCCGUAAACGAUGUGCACUAAAUAUUGGAGGAUUGACCCCUUCAGUGUUGUAGCUAACGCGUUAAGUGCACCGCCUGGGGAGUACGGUCGCAAGACUAAAACUCAAAGGAAUUGACGGGGGCCCGCACAAGCGGUGGAUUAUGUGGUUUAAUUCGAAGCAACGCGCAGAACCUUACCUAGGCUUGAAAUCCCGAGAAUCUAACUGAAAGGUUGGAGUGCUCUUCGGAGAAUUCGGUGACAGGCGCUGCAUGGCUGUCGUCAGCUCGUGCCG
rnacentral:rRNA from 1 species